ACUGGCUACCAGCAUGAAAUAUUACUUGAGCUUGAUAAUAUACAGCAAGAUAGUUGUUUCAGUGCUUGUCCAAAUUGGGUCACAGAAUGUUUAACCUUGUAACUUACAACAAAAUUUAGACCAAGAAAUGAUACACACAUUCUAGAACUCUCCAUCAUUCAAGUUGGGCAUACCAGAUACCCUGGAUUUUGACAUCCUUGGGAACCUUUGCCCCCAGAUCAGUAUCAGAUGGCUGGAUGCUCUCAAAUACUCCAAUGACCUCACCAGUCUCUGGCUUGCUCUGGGUAACACUCAAGGUGAUCUUUCCUGUUAAAGAUGCAGUGUUCUUUACGUUCUCCUUCUGAAGCUCCUCCUCGUCUCCUCUCCCUCCAGCAGGCAAUGCAACAGCGUUGUCAUAGCCAGUAGAUCCACCUCGUCCCUUUGGGUCAAGGAAGGAUGAACCUCUGUAUGAUGGCACAAGGAACUCACCACUAAAGCUUUCUGGCUUGCCGCUUGCCACAAGCUGUUUGAUAGUGAAGAGGAAGGGCACACGCUCACCACCAGGAAGCUGAACUGUAACAGCAGCAUAAUCAAUUCCAUCCUUCUCCUCAAACUUAACAGUGCCAUCCGGAGACACUUCAAAUGGUCCCUCAAUCUCAUCAAGAGUGUAGGUUAAGCGUGUCAUGAGCUUGGUUUUUUGGAAGUCUGGGGCUGAGUUCUUGCUGACACCCUCUGCCUUGACUGUGAAUGAUGUGGGCUCUAGGCAGAAUUUCUUGGCAGUGUAUUUGCCUGGUUUGAAGGCAAAGCUGCCAACACCUCCUUCAAUGGUAGGACAUUGGUUAGCAGUUCCAGUUCCCUUUACUUCCA
rnacentral:misc_RNA from 1 species